rnacentral:rRNA from 1 species
GAUGAACGCUGGCGGCGUGCCUAAUACAUGCAAGUCGAGCGAACAGACGAGGAGCUUGCUCCUCUGACGUUAGCGGCGGCCGGGUGAGUAACACGUGGAUAACCUACCUAUAAGACUGGGAUAACUUCGGGAAACCGGAGCUAAUACCGGAUAAUAUAUUGAACCGCAUGGUUCAAUAGUGAAAGACGGUUUUGCUGUCACUUAUAGAUGGAUCCGCGCCGCAUUAGCUAGUUGGUAAGGUAACGGCUUACCAAGGCAACGAUGCGUAGCCGACCUGAGAGGGUGAUCGGCCACACUGGAACUGAGACACGGUCCAGACUCCUACGGGAGGCAGCAGUAGGGAAUCUUCCGCAAUGGGCGAAAGCUUGACGGAGCAACGCCGCGUGAGUGAUGAAGGUCUUCGGAUCGUAAAACUCUGUUAUUAGGGAAGAACAAAUGCGUAAGUAACUAUGCACGUCUUGACGGUACCUAAUCAGAAAGCCACGGCUAACUACGUG